rnacentral:rRNA from 1 species
UACGAAGGGGGCUAGCGUUGCUCGGAAUCACUGGGCGUAAAGGGUGCGUAGGCGGGUCUUAAGUCAGGGGUGAAAUCCUGGAGCUCAACUCCAGAACUGCCUUUGAUACUGAGGAUCUUGAGUUCGGGAGAGGUGAGUGGAACUGCGAGUGUAGAGGUGAAAUUCGUAGAUAUUCGCAAGAACACCAGUGGCGAAGGCGGCUCACUGGCCCGAUACUGACGCUGAAAUACGAAAGCGUGGGGAGCAAACAGGGAUUAAGAAACCCUUUGUAAC